GACGAACGCUGGCGGCGUGCCUAAUACAUGCAAGUAGAACGCACAGUUUAUACCGUAGCUUGCUACACCAUAGACUGUGAGUUGCGAACGGGUGAGUAACGCGUAGGUAACCUGCCUGGUAGCGGGGGAUAACUAUUGGAAACGAUAGCUAAUACCGCAUAAUAUUGAUUAUUGCAUGAUAAUUAAUUGAAAGGUGCAAUUGCACCACUACCAGAUGGACCUGCGUUGUAUUAGCUAGUAGGUGAGGUAACGGCUCACCUAGGCGACGAUACAUAGCCGACCUGAGAGGGUGAUCGGCCACACUGGGACUGAGACACGGCCCAGACUCCUACGGGAGGCAGCAGUAGGGAAUCUUCGGCAAUGGACGAAAGUCUGACCGAGCAACGCCGCGUGAGUGCAGAAGGUUGUCGGAUCGUAAAGCUCUGUUGUAAGAGAAGAACGGGUGUGAGAGUGGAAAGUUCACACUGUGACGGUAUCUUACCAGAAAGGGACGGCUAACUACGUG
rnacentral:rRNA from 1 species